ensembl:lncRNA
UCAAGAAGUACAGCUGCAGAUGUGGGAAAAAGAAAGAGCCAGUGGUGGAUGGUAGGGGAUUAGGUCAGGGUGGGGAGUGUUUUAUAAAUAUGAGAAGUUUGGAGGAUAUUUAAAUACUGAAGGAAGUGACAGAUUGAGUGGAAGGGGUCGAAAGAAGGCCAGAUGGAGGCUAUUGAGAAGGCUGGAGAGGCUGAGAUUCAGAGCACACUAGAGCAAUCGCUCUGAUGGCAGGAGGAGGGCGCUUCUGCUGCUACAGGAAGGAAGGAGGAGAGAAUGGGUGUGGAUGCUGGUACGUUUGUGGGUUUAGGGGCAAGAAUUUGAGAGCGUUCCUGUCUAGUGACUCUCAUUUUCUCUGCGAGGGAAAAAGAGAAUAGCGGGGAUCUUUUUCGACACACCCAUUGUGAAAGCUCAAAAUCCGUAUUGAAGAGGAAGUUUUAAAAAGCUUUUGUGAAGUUGAGAGAGAGAAAAAGUUCUUAAAAUGUAUUUUAAAAAACAAAUUCAGACAAAUGUAAUUCAUGGUCAAGACAGAGUAUGAAAGUAAGAGACUCAUGAAAAUUCUGCUUAUAACAAUUGAUGGUGGGUGUACUAAAAAUAUUAAUUUAAACUAAAAUUGUAUGUCUUAUUCUAAUAAACAUUUUAUGAUCAAGUCUAAUGGUUAGACAAAUCGAAACAAUUCACCUUACACAUCCAGAUUUAAUGUUUUUUCUCUGAGCAGUUGACUGAAUACAUAAUCACUAAUUGCAGUAGGAUUAUAUUAAAAUCAGAUGGCUUAAACUUUCUAGAACUGGAUGAUUAACACAAUAACCUGAACUUAAUUAGGUAUUCAUAUUAAAUGCUGGCAAUAAGCAAGUGUUUCCUUUGAUAUCCACUUUAAGUGCAUACUGAAAUCACAGCAUGGCACCAUAAGAAUAUACACAGAGUCAAUGGAGUUUGAAGAAAUUAGACAGAAUAAAUGAGUCACACUUUUAUUCAUAUGGAGCCCAUCCUGGGGUAGAGAUGAGGGCAUAGGGAGGCAGCACAAAUCUGUUGCUUCCUUGUCUUAACAUCAUUAUGCAGAAUCCAGUGUUCUGAGCAGUAGUUAAUCCUCCUAACUGGAGCUGAGAUCUUUACUGUUGUGUCAUGUUUGACAGGAGGAAGCACUUGUCCUCUAGAAAGGACCUAUAAGGCAUUAGGAGGGCUUCUCAACAGCAGGAACCAAAGUUCCCUUUGUUAUAACUCAACCUACAAUUUUCUCUAUUUCCAACCCAGGUACAUAGACUGGAAAAUUCCCCAAGUAAUCGUUAUAAUACUCCUUCAGAUCCUAGCUCCUUGGGCAUCUUGUCCGCAAAAAUUCCCUCAUAUUAUUUGUGCUCCACAGCAAGGUUGGAAGAUUAACUUGAAAGCCACAGUUGUACAAGGACACAGAAUCUCCCCUGCCCCAUUCCAAAUAAAUUAUAAGGACUUCAGCUUUGGUGAAGCAGUCUUGGAAGCCAUACAUACAUGAGUCCUACUGCAGCAAAAGUGCCAGGAACUGCUGCCAUCAGUUCCAUGUCCCUUGGUCACACUGGAGCAAGUUAUACAGAGCAGGAGAGGAAACAAACGUUUAUUCCCUUCCUCUUGCAGCAACUCAUAGGUACCUUGAACACCAGAGUCCAAUAUUGGCUAUACCAGGCCAUGUGAUAUUUUGACCAUCCCCCUCAUCCUUUCUGGCUCUUUCAGGCUAGGACCAAAAGGCUGUACAGCUAAUGGUGUUGAAGGGCCCAGGAGUGACCACCAAGGAAGCCAUGCUCAUAUGCUUCCUUCCUCCCUCCUUCUCCCUGUCUUGUUAAAAUCUAGUGAAGUAUAUUCAUCUUCCUGAAAGGCUUUCCAAUCAGCCCUGCCUACUCCUGUUGUCUCAGUCUCCUGUCCUACAUGUAGGUAAUUACUCAGAAAGCCCAGGCUUGCCCUUGCUUGGUGCAUGUUAGGGAUGUUUUGUAUGUGUUGUGAUGAGGUAUUCCAGGGAAAGAUAACCACCUGGGCAGCUCUCUUUUCUCUUUACUUGUUUCCUAGGAUGCCUGUUCCUGGUUCGGCACAGUGCGGGCUCAGACAACGCUGUUCACAAUUGGACUGUUUAUUUGCAAUAAGGGGCUGAUGGCUUCCAAAUUUAAAUCUCCAAUACUGACGUCACUGCUGGACUUGAGACUUCCAUCCAACUAUAGGCUGCUAGACAUCUCACCUGGAGAUCUCAGACAUGAAAAUCAACGUGACCCAAACUAAAUGCAUCAUUGCCUCACUUCCCCUAAAUCAGAUCUUUUGCUGUUUCCUCUCUCGGGAACUGACAUCAUAACCCACUUGGUUACUGAAGUCAGAAAACUGAGAUUCAUCCCAGAUCAUUCUCCCUAAUUCAUCCCACUACAACUGGCCAAUCAGUAAACCUUAUUUGUGUGGUCUCCCAGCCAUUUGCUGGAUCAAGGCUCUCCUCCACACUUUCUCCCCUGAUGUAGCUCCGGCCUCACCUUCCUUGAUAUACACGACUGCAGACACUUCUGGAAUGGUCUGCCUGCCUUUGAUCUUGUUUUUGUCAUCCUCCCCAAGAUCCACGCUUUACACUAUUGCCAGAGAGACUAACCAUAGAGUGCAGCUCUGAGAGGGUUACUCCCCAGCUUAAAACCAAAUUCAGAGGGAUCCCAUACAUGGCAUUUAAGCUAAAGGCAUUCCAUGACCUGGCUCUUCCAAAUCUGUUGAACUUCAUCUCCUGCCCUCCCCCGGCCCCAUUACAUUGCCCUUAUGUGGGUUAAAAGCCCUUACAUCGCCUUUAUGUGGGUUCUAGAAGGCCUACUACAGAGCACCUGUUUUCCCUGCUGGAGUCUGGAAUCAAUUAAGUAUUAUGACAAGAAGACCACAUAUGAAGACAAAGACCACACAUUACUGAUAAAGCCCAUACUGGAGUAAGUGGCUUCUAUUUGCAGACAAGGAGGCUUCUCCAUUAUGAAGAGACGGACGUAUGCUUCCUGUCAACAGUUCACCGCCAUCAGGAAGAGAAGAGAAAUGAAUCAGGCACACUCAAAUUAUUCUCCUUAGAUUGACUAAUCAGAAUUCACUCCGCUCCCCAUGAGGAGAAGUAAAGGGUCGGGGGAGGGCUGGAAUUGACAGGGGCUCCCUCUAUAUGAAAAUGAGCCACAGCAAUGGAGAAGGAACAUCCCCUUCAUGCUGCCUCCAUCUGUGUGCCCUUUCUGAGGCUGUUUGAACUGCCUAGGAUAUCACCCCUCAUUUCCCACCUGCCUAACUUCUACUCAUCCUCCAAGACUCAGGUCAGAUUGGACCUCCUUCAGAAACCCUCUGUGAAUUCCUAGAAAGUGCCCAUCCUCUGUGCUCACAGGUCUCUCUCAGACCAUUCACCUUAGUGCAGUGAAUGUCUAUUAAUUUGCCUGUUUUCCUUAAGGGAACCAUCAUGCCAUUCAACCUUGUAUUGCCUGUGCCCAGCACACUGACUGGUACAUAGUAGAUACUUAACAAAUGCUCAGUGGACUGGACUGAGAUUAUCUAGAGAAGCCUCUUCAUUUGAUAAAUGACCUUUAAAGGCUCCAUUUUGUAUGUUGUGAGUAUUGGUAACAAAACAGAGUAAGUGUUGGAGUCAGGCACGUUUAGUUUGUGAUUCUGCAUCUUCUUAGCUGUGUGACCUUACUCAAACCACUUGUCCUUUCUAAAUCCCAGUUUUCGAAUAUGUAAAAUGAGAUAAUACUAUCUUCCUUCCCAGUUUGGUAUAAUAAUUAAAUAAGAUAGAAAUAAAUUAUCUAGCUCACUAGCACCUGGCAUAGAAUACACACCAGAGAAAUGGUAACUAUUAUUAUUUUAUAGCUAUUCUUAUUAUUAAAUUAUAUUUUGUUUGACAGUGUUUAGUUGAACGAAUUCAGCAAUUAAUAAAGGUACAAUUCCCACCCUCAAGCAACGUAGAGUCUAGAGAAGAAGCUCGAAAUAGGGAUUCUGUAUUUCCAGGAUUCUACAGAAGAUUCUGUAUUUCUGGACUUACUAGUCAGGGUUCUCCAGGGAAACAGAACAAAUAGGACAUAUAUGAGGAGAUUUAAUAUGAGGAAUUGGUUCACUUAAUUAUAGAGGCUGAGAAGUCUCAAGAUCUGCUGUCUGCAAGCUGGAGACCCAGGAAAGCUGGUGAUGUAAUUCCAAGUCCAAGUCCAAAGGCCUGAGAAUCAGGAGCAGAGCUGGUCCAAGCCCUAGUCCAAGGGCAGGAGAAGACAGAUGUUUCAGCAGUCAGGCAAAGAUGAAGAAUUCUCCCUUCCUCCACCCUUUUGUUCUACCAGGCCCUUAAGAGAUUGGAUGCCCAUCCAGAUUGUGAGGGGUAACCUGCUCCACCCAGUCAGAUUCAAAUGCUAAUCUCAUCCAGAAACACCCUCACAGACACACCCCGAAAUAAUGUUUAACCAGAUAUCUGGGCACCCUGUGGCCCAGCCAAAUGGACUUAAAAUUAACCAUCACACUUUAUAAACC